rnacentral:rRNA from 1 species
UACGUAGGGUGCAAGCGUUAAUCGGAAUUACUGGGCGUAAAGCGUGCGCAGGCGGUUCGCUAAGACAGAUGUGGAAUCCCCGGGCUUAACCUGGGAACUGCAUUUGUGACUGGCGGGCUAGAGUAUGGCAGAGGGGGGUAGAAUUCCACGUGUAGCAGUGAAAUGCGUAGAGAUGUGGAGGAAUACCGAUGGCGAAGGCAGCCCCCUGGGCCAAUACUGACGCUCAUGCACGAAAGCGUGGGGAGCAAACAGG